rnacentral:rRNA from 1 species
GAGUUUGAUCAUGGCUCAGGAUGAACGCUGGCGGCGUGCCUAAUACAUGCAAGUCGAGCGAACGGACGAGAAGCUUGCUUCUCUGAUGUUAGCGGCGGACGGGUGAGUAACACGUGGAUAACCUACCUAUAAGACUGGGAUAACUUCGGGAAACCGGAGCUAAUACCGGAUAAUAUUUUGAACCGCAUGGUUCAAAAGUAAAGACGGUCUUGCUGUCACUUAUAGAUGGAUCCGCGCUGCAUUAGCUAGUUGGUAAGGUAACGGCUUACCAAGGCAACGAUGCAUAGCCGACCUGAGAGGGUGAUCGGCCACACUGGAACUGAGACACGGUCCAGACUCCUACGGGAGGCAGCAGUAGGGAAUCUUCCGCAAUGGGCGAAAGCCUGACGGAGCAACGCCGCGUGAGUGAUGAAGGUCUUCGGAUCGUAAAACUCUGUUAUUAGGGAAGAACAUAUGUGUAAGUAACUGUGCACAUCUUGACGGUACCUAAUCAGAAAGCCACGGCUAACUACGUCG